rnacentral:rRNA from 1 species
UGCAAGUCGAACGGGAUCAUUGAUGUAGCAAUACAGCAAUGGUCUAGUGGCGAACGGGUGCGUAACACGUGGAUACAUUCCGGGAAGCGGGGGAUAGCCCAGGGAAACUUGGAUUAAUACCGCAUGUGAUCGAAAGAUCAAAGACGGGGACCGCAAGGCCUGUCACUUCCCGAUUGGUCCGCGGCUUAUCAGCUAGUUGGCGGGGUAACGGCCCACCAAGGCAACGACGGGUAGCUGGUCUGAGAGGACGACCAGCCACACUGGAACUGAGACACGGUCCAGACACCUACGGGUGGCAGCAGUCGAGAAUCUUUCACAAUGGGGGCAACCCUGAUGGAGCGACGCCGCGUGGAGGAUAAGGUCUUCGGAUUGUAAACUCCUGUCAUGUGUGAACAAGGUUGCGGGGCUAAUACCUUUGCAAAUUGAUGGUAACACAAGAGGAAGAGACGGCUAACUCUGUGCCAGCAGCCGCGGUAAUACAGAGGUCUCAAGCGUUGUUCGGAAUCACUGGGCGUAAAGGGUGCGUAGGUGGCGUGGUAAGUCAGAUGUGAAAGCCCGGGGCUCAACCUCGGAAUUGCAUCCGAUACUGCUAUGCUCGAGUACUGAAGAGGUGACUAGAAUUCUAGGUGUAGCAGUGAAAUGCGUAGAUAUCUAGAGGAAUACCAAAGGCGAAGGCAGGUCACUGGGCAGUUACUGACAC